rnacentral:rRNA from 15 species
GGGUCGAUGAAGAACGCAGCUAAUUGCGCGUCAACUUGUGAACUGCAGGACACAUGAACAUCGACAUUUCGAACGCACAUUGCGGUCCUCGGAUACUCGUUCCCGGACCACUCCUGGCUGAGGGUCGUAUCUAUUUCAAAGACUGCUCGGUUUUC